GUCCUUUAGAUAAAUAAUUUAAGGUCUAACCUGCCCAUUGAAAUUUUUAAAAGGCCGCAGUAAUUUGACUGUGCAAAGGUAGCAUAAUCAUUAGUUUUUUAAUUAAAAGCUUGUAUGAAUGGUUGGACGAGAUAAUAACUGUCUCAUUAUAAUUUAUAGAAUUUAAUUUUUGAGUUAAAAAGCUUAAAUAUUAGUAAAAGACGAGAAGACCCUAUAGAUCUUUAUAAAAAUUUUUUUAAUAUUAAUAAUGAUUUUUUAAUUUAUUAUUAUUAUUUUUAUUUUAUUGGGGUAAUAAAGAGAUUUAAUUAAUUCUUUUUUUAUAAAACAAAAAUUUUUGAUUAGUAUGAUCCAUAAUUUAUGAUUAAAAGUUUAAGUUACCUUAGGGAUAACAGCGUAAUUUUUUUAGAGAGUUCAUAUUGAUAAAAAAGUUUGCGACCUCGAUGUUGGAUUAAAAGUAAUCUUAGGUGCAGAAGUUUAAGAUUUUGGUCUGUUCGACCAUUGAAUUUUU
rnacentral:rRNA from 1 species